rnacentral:tRNA from 1 species
GGAUCUUUAGCUCAAAAUGGUAGAGCACUCGGUCAUCCCUCGAGAGGUUGGUGGUUCAAAUCCAUCAAGAUUCG